AGAGCACUCUAAAGAGACUGCCGGUGACAAACCGGAGGAAGGUGGGGAUGACGUCAAGUCCUCAUGCCCUUAUGGGUAGGGCUUCACACGUCAUACAAUGGUGCAUACAGAGGGUUGCCAACCCGCGAGGGGGAGCUAAUCUCAGAAAAUGCAUCGUAGUCCGGAUCGUAGUCUGCAACUUGACUACGUGAAGCUGGAAUCGCUAGUAAUCGCGGAUCAGAAUGUCGCGGUGAAUACGUUCCCGGGUCUUGUACACACCGCCCGUCAC
rnacentral:rRNA from 1 species